rnacentral:rRNA from 1 species
CAUGGUUAAGUGGGAAACGAUGUGGGAAGGCCCAGACAGCCAGGAUGUUGGCUUAGAAGCAGCCAUCAUUUAAAGAAAGCGUAAUAGCUCACUGGUCGAGUCGGCCUGCGCGGAAGAUGUAACGGGGCUAAACCAUGCACCGAAGCUGCGGCAGCGACGCUGAUGCGUUGUUGGGUAGGGGAGCGUUCUGUAAGCCUGCGAAGGUGUGCUGUGAGGCAUGCUGGAGGUAUCAGAAGUGCGAAUGCUGACAUAAGUAACGAUAAAGCGGGUGAAAAGCCCGCUCGCCGGAAGACCAAGGGUUCCUGUCCAACGUUAAUCGGGGCAGGGUGAGUCGACCCCUAAGGCGAGGCCGAAAGGCGUAGUCGAUGGGAAACAGGUUAAUAUUCCUGUACUUGGUGUUACUGCGAAGGGGGGACGGAGAAGGCUAUGUUGGCCGGGCGACGGUUGUCCCGGUUUAAGCGUGUAGGCUGGUUUUCCAGGCAAAUCCGGAAAAUCAAGGCUGAGGCGUGAUGACGAGGCACUACGGUGCUGAAGCAACAAAUGCCCUGCUUCCAGGAAAAGCCUCUAAGCAUCAGGUAACAUCAAAUCGUACCCCAAACCGACACAGGUGGUCAGGUAGAGAAUACCAAGGCGCUUGAGAGAACUCGGGUGAAGGAACUAGGCAAAAUGGUGCCGUAACUUCGGGAGAAGGCACGCUGAUAUGUAGGUGAAGUCCCUCGCGGAUGGAGCUGAAAUCAGUCGAAGAUACCAGCUGGCUGCAACUGUUUAUUAAAAACACAGCACUGUGCAAACACGAAAGUGGACGUAUACGGUGUGACGCCUGCCCGGUGC